GCUUGAUUGGUGUAAGGGCAGCACGGUUGAUUGUCUGUCAACAAGUAACAGUUCGAAUCUGUUAUUGAGCGCCA
rnacentral:tRNA from 1 species